UUGUAUUCCAUUUAUUUAUUUUUUUGGCUGUUGACAAAAAGUGUGCGAAAGAGAAAGAGAGACAAAAGUGCACUGAAAGCAACGGCAGUUGCUGCGAAGAAGCGCGUAAAGAAAGCCAAAGCAAACGGCAGCUGGUCAAAAUGGAAUGACCAGAGCUGCUUUUGGUGGCCUACACACGUCGUCAUCGUAGCCUACGGAAGAUGCUGCAGCAGGCAGCAGCAACACCAACAGCAGCAGCAACAGCAGCAAC
rnacentral:sRNA from 1 species